rnacentral:rRNA from 1 species
GAUGAACGCUGGCGGCGUGCCUAACACAUGCAAGUCGAGCGAACACACGAGGAGCUUGCUCCCCUGACGUUAGCGGCGGACGGGUGAGUAACACGUGGAUAACCUACCUAUAAGACUGGGAUAACUUAGGGAAACCUGAGCUAAUACCGGAUAAUAUAUUGAACGGCAGGGUUCAAUAGUGAAAGACGGUUUUGCUGUCACUUAUAGAUGGACCCGCGCCGCAUUAGCUAGUUGGUAAGGUAACGGCUUACCAAGGCGACGAUGCGUAGCCGACCUGAGAGGGUGAUCGGCCACACUGGAACUGAGACACGGGCCAGACUCCUACGGGAGGCAGCAGUAGGGAAUCUUGCGCAAUGGGCGAAAGCCUGACGGAGCAACGCCGCGUGAGUGAUGAAGGUCUUCGGAUCGUAAACCUCUGUUAUUAGGGAAGAACAAAUGUGUAAGAAACUAUGCACGUCUUGACGGUACCUGAUCAGAAAGCCACGGCUAACUACGUG